AUUGAACGCUGGCGGCAUGCCUAACACAUGCAAGUCGAACGGUAACGCGGAGAGCUUGCUCUCUGGCGACGAGUGGCGGACGGGUGAGUAAUACUUAGGAAUCUGCCCAGUAGUGGGGGACAACAUUCGGAAACGGAUGCUAAUACCGCAUACGCACUACGGUGGAAAGUGGGGGACCUUCGGGCCUCACGCUAUUGGAUGAGCUUAAGUCGGAUUAGCUUGUUGGUAGGGUAAUGGCCUACCAAGGCGACGAUCCGUAGCUGGUCUGAGAGGACGAUCAGCCACACUGGGACUGAGACACGGCCCAGACUCCUACGGGAGGCAGCAGUGGGGAAUAUUGGACAAUGGGCGCAAGCCUGAUCCAGCAAUGCCGCGUGUGUGAAGAAGGCCUGCGGGUUGUAAAGCACUUUCAGUAGAGAAGAAAAGCUUACGGUUAAUACCCGUGAGUCUUGACGUAACCUACAGAAGAAGCACCGGCUAACUCCGUG
rnacentral:rRNA from 1 species